GGUGUUGGGGGGUUCCACCCUCAGUGCUGAAGUUAACACAUUAAGCACUCCGCCUGGGGAGUACGACCGCAAGGUUGAAACUCAAAGGAAUUGACGGGGGCCCGCACAAGCAGUGGAGCAUGUGGUUUAAUUCGAAGCAACGCGAAGAACCUUACCAGGUCUUGACAUCCUUUGACCACUCUAGAGAUAGAGCUUUCCCCUUCGGGGGACAAAGUGACAGGUGGUGCAUGGUUGUCGUCAGCUCGUGUCGUGAGAUGUUGGGUUAAGUCCCGCAACGAGCGCAACCCUUGACCUUAGUUGCCAGCAUUCAGUUGGGCACUCUAAGGUGACUGCCGGUGACAAACCGGAGGAAGGUGGGGACGACGUCAAAUCAUCAUGCCCCUUAUGACCUGGGCUACACACGUGCUACAAUGGAUGAUACAAAGGGUUGCGAAGCCGCGAGGCCAAGCCAAUCCCAAAAAGUCAUUCUCAGUUCGGAUUGUAGGCUGCAACUCGCCUACAUGAAGCCGGAAUUGCUAGUAAUCGCGGAUCAGCAUGCCGCGGUGAAUACGUUCCCGGGCCUUGUACACACCGCCCGUCACACCACGAGAGUUUGUAACACCCGAAGUCGGUGGGGUAACCCUUUUGGGAGCCAGCCGCCGAAGGUGGGACAGAUGAUUGGGGUGAAGUCGUAACAAGGGUAA
rnacentral:rRNA from 1 species